CCUACGGGAGGCAGCAGUAGGGAAUCUUCCGCAAUGGACGAAAGUCUGACGGAGCAACGCCGCGUGAGCGAUGAAGGCCUUCGGGUCGUAAAGUUCUGUUGUUAGGGAAGAACAAGUACCAGAGUAACUGCCGGUACCUUGACGGUACCUAACCAGAAAGCCACGGCUAACUACGUGCCAGCAGCCGCGGUAAU
rnacentral:rRNA from 1 species